GUACGGAAGGCAGCAGUGAGGAAUAUUGGUCAAUGGACGCAAGUCUGAACCAGCCAUGCCGCGUGAAGGAUGAAGGCCUUCUGGGUUGUAAACUUCUUUUACCUGGGAAGAAACCCCAAUAUUCUUAUUGGGUUGACGGUACCAGAGGAAUAAGCACCGGCUAACUCCGUGCCAGCAGCCGCGGUAAUACGGAGGGUGCAAGCGUUAUCCGGAUUUACUGGGUUUAAAGGGUGUGUAGGCGGGCUUUUAAGUCAGUGGUGAAAUCUCCGGGCUCAACCCGGAAACUGCCAUUGAUACUAUUAGUCUUGAAUUUUGUUGAGGUAGGCGGAAUAAGUCAUGUAGCGGUGAAAUGCUUAGAUAUGACUUAGAACACCAAUUGCGAAGGCAGCUUGCUAAACAAAUAUUGACGCUGAGGCACGAAAGCGUGGGGAUCAAACAGGAUUAGAUACCCCGGUAGC
rnacentral:rRNA from 1 species